CAGAUAUUAGUUUAUUAAAAAUAUUAAUUUUGGAGAUUAAAGAUGGAAAUUUUUUAUAUCUGA
rnacentral:tRNA from 1 species